GGAAGGAUCAUUAAACGUGAGCACUGUGGAAGAAAAUUCUACAGGGUUCCUCAGAGGUGGGAUCCUUGCACACCGAGUACCGUCCGUUUCCUCGGCAGGCUUGCCUGCCAACGGGGACCCCCAAAACUCUUCUGUAUUAGCAGUAUAUUGUCUGAUGGCAAAUCUUAAUACUUUGAAAACUUUCAACAACGGAUCUCUUGGUUCUGGCAUCGAUGAAGAACGCAGCGAAAUGCGAUAAGUAGUGUGAAUUGCAGAAUUCAGUGAAUCAUCGAAUCUUUGAACGCACAUUGCGCCCUUUGGUAUUCCUUAGGGCAUGCCUGUUCGAGCGUCAUUUAACCCUUCAAGCCCAGCUUGGUGAUGGGCGACUGUCCCGCCAGAUUCGCGUGUGGACUCGCCUCAAAAUCAUUGGCGGCCGGUUCUCAUUGUUGGCUUUGGAGCGCAGCAGAAUUGCGCGACCCGCCCAACGGAAUCGGUGCUCCAGAAGCGCACCCUUUAGCCUUCUUGACCUCGGAUCAGGUAGGGAUACCCGCUGAACUUAAGCAUAUCAAUAAGCGGAGGAAAAGAAACCAACAGGGAUUGCCCUAGUAACGGCGAGUGAAGCGGCAACAGCUCAAAUUUGAAAUCUGGCUCCCUCGGGGCCCGAGUUGUAAUUUGUAGAGGGCGCUUUGGUGUUGGCAGCGGUCUAAGUCCCUUGGAACAGGGCGUCACAGAGGGUGAGAAUCCCGUAUGUGGCCGCCAGCCUCCGCCGUGUAAAGCCCCUUCGACGAGUCGAGUUGUUUGGGAAUGCAGCUCUAAAUGGGAGGUAAAUUUCUUCUAAAGCUAAAUAUUGGCCAGAGACCGAUAGCGCACAAGUAGAGUGAUCGAAAGAUGAAAAGCACUUUGGAAAGAGAGUCAAAAAGCACGUGAAAUUGUUGAAAGGGAAGCGCUUGCAGCCAGACUCGCUCGCAGUUGCUCACCCGGGCUCUUGCCCGGUGCACUCUUCUGCGGGCGGGCCAGCAUCAGUCCGGGCGGUUGGAUAAAGGCCUGCUAAAUGUACCUCCCCUCCGGGAGGACUUAUAGGGUAGGCGACAUACGACCAGCCUGGAUUGAGGUCCGCGCAUUUGCUAGGAUGCUGGCGUAAUGGCUGUAAGCGGCCCGUCUUGAAACACGGACCAAGGAGUCUAACAUCUAUGCGAGUGUUUGGGUGUCAAGCCCGAGCGCGCAAUGAAAGUGAACGGAGGUGGGAACCCCUCGGGGCGCACCAUCGACCGAUCCUGAUGUCUUCGGAUGGAUUUGAGUAAGAGCAUAGCUGUUGGGACCCGAAAGAUGGUGAACUAUGCCUGAAUAGGGUGAAGCCAGAGGAAACUCUGGUGGAGGCUCGCAGCGGUUCUGACGUGCAAAUCGAUCGUCAAAUUUGGGCAUAGGGGCGAAAGACUAAUCGAACUAUCUAGUAGCUGGUUCCUGC
rnacentral:misc_RNA from 1 species